rnacentral:tRNA from 1 species
GAUUAGCUCAGUUGGGAGAGCACCUGCCUUACAAGCAGGGGGUCACUGGUUCGAACCCGGUAUCGCCCACCA